UACGUAGGGGGCGAGCGUUGUCCGGAUUUAUUGGGCGUAAAGAGCGUGUAGGCGGCCAGGUAGGUCGGUUGUGAAAACUGGAGGCUUAACCUUCAGACGUCGACCGAAACCAUCUGGCUAGAGUCCGGAAGAGGAGAGUGGAAUUCCUGGUGUAGCGGUGAAAUGCGCAGAUAUCAGGAAGAACACCCGUGGCGAAGGCGGCCAUCUGGAAGAUUACUGACGCUGAGACGCGAAAGCGUGGGGAGCAAACAGG
rnacentral:rRNA from 1 species